rnacentral:rRNA from 1 species
GAGUUUGAUCUUGGCUCAGAUUGAACGCUGGCGGCAUGCCUUACACAUGCAAGUCGAACGGCAGCACGGGAGCUUGCUCCUGGUGGCGAGUGGCGAACGGGUGAGUAAUGCAUCGGAACGUAUCCUGGAGUGGGGGGAUAACGUAGCGAAAGUUACGCUAAUACCGCAUAUUCUGUGAGCAGGAAAGCGGGGGACCUUCGGGCCUCGCGCUCUUGGAGCGGCCGAUGUCGGAUUAGCUAGUUGGUGAGGUAAAGGCUCACCAAGGCGACGAUCCGUAGCAGGUCUGAGAGGAUGAUCUG